CUUCUUUCCUUUUCUCAUUUUUUUCAUUUUGCUACCCUUACAUCUCUGUAUCAUGCUCUAGUAAGUGGAUUGAGGUAGACAUUACGCUGAAGAAAUCCCAACAGGAACAUCAGGUAGCAGCACAGCUUUCAUUUGUUGCUUUUUUCAGCAGACACCACCACCUCUGCUUUGCUAAUUUUGACAGAGAAUAUUUCAGAAAAAAUUACUGAAAGGUAUCUGAUCUCAUAUUGGUCAGCGUCUCCUUGGAUGAUACCAUGCCAAGAUACUGUGUUUGUCUUAUACAAAUUAAGGGAACGACUUUGUGGAGAAAGAAAUGGAAGAACAGUAAACCUCUCAGUGUGAGCAAAAAUGGGUCCCCAGCCACAUACAAUAAGCAGUGCACACUGUAUUUCAUUCUUCUUUUAGAGGAACUGAAACACAAGAUAUACAAUGGGUACUAUCUGGAGUCAAACUUGUUCGAAAAGACGGCCUAGGCACACCUGCUCUGAAGAUCUCACUAGUGUGGCUGAAGGAGCUGCCUUCCCUCCUACUCAUCAGUGCUCCUCUGAUGGACAUUACCAUCCAUGCACAUCUGAGAUACCUUAACUGGUGACACAGCUGCAGCGGGGCCUCACUUCCGUCAUGUUUUGGGCAGCAAGCAUGCACACCUAAUCAGCACAGGCAACGUGGGCCCACUAGACAGAGCUAAGAAAAAUGUGGGAGCGCCUUUACACAGUCCAGAUGUUGGGCUGGAAGAAUAAGCUCCUGAAGCUCUUAUGUUAAGCCCAGGCGAGAUUAGAGAGACUGCAAAGGAAAAUCUGAGAUAAAUUACCAAAUGAGCCAUCCAUGGCGAAGAGAGUUCUGGGAUAGUGCAGGAAGAACAAAGUCAAUGAAGGUAAAACAGAAGAUAGACAUAUAUUAAACUUUUAAAAUCCUAACCACAUUAUCCCCCAGAAAGAAUCUGUCACUUUUUUUUAGAGCUUUCAUCUAGACACUUUUCUAGUUUUAAUUUGUUGUAUACUAUAGAUGUGUUGUCUGA